GAUCCCUUCUGCAGAACAUAUACUAACAUUGGAAUGAUACAGAGAAGAUUAGCAUAGACCUUGUGAAUGAUGACAUGCAAAUUCAUGAAGCAUUCUAUAAUUUU